AACGAACGCUGGCGGCAGGCCUAACACAUGCAAGUCGAGCGAGGACUUCGGGUCUAGCGGCGGACGGGUGAGUAACGCGUGGGAAUGUGCCCUUCUCUACGGAAUAGCCCUGGGAAACUGGGAGUAAUACCGUAUACGCCCUCUUGGGGAAAGAUUUAUCGGAGAAGGAUCAGCCCGCGUUGGAUUAGGUAGUGGGUGGGGUAAUGGCCUACCAAGCCGACGAUCCAUAGCUGGUUUGAGAGGAUGCUCAGCCACACUGGGACUGAGACACGGCCCAGAAUCCUACGGGAGGCAGCAGUGGGGAAUCUUAGAAAAUGGGGGCAACCCUGAUCGAGCCAUGACGGGUGAGUGAUGAAGGCCGUAGGGUUGUAAAGCUCGUUAAGCUGGGAAGAUAAUGACGGUACCAGCAGAAGAAGCCCCGGCUAACUCCGUG
rnacentral:rRNA from 1 species